rnacentral:lncRNA from 1 species
AGCACAGGAGGGUGGAAAUGUCCAGCCACUUCACGUCUGGAUGUGUCCCCUGAGGCUGGACCCGUGAGCCAGGAAUGAAUGAGUGAGUGGACUCUGGGGACCUGGCCUCAGGCCCUGUGCCCGUGUUCGGCUGCCCAGCACAGGGCUUUGCAGGCCUUAGCAUGUGUCAGGCAGCCGGGCUGCUGGAGCCCACCCCAGAGAGUGCGAUCCCGGGUCUGGCGGGGAGGGGGGAGUCCAAAUUCUCCAGGAGCUUCCCACUGCAGCGGCAGGGGCUGCCUGGACCCUCCCGUGUGCCCGCAGGGCCCAGGAGAGGGAGCCCCUAUCCUCAGGAACCCCACGGAAAGAGGGCACCACCCAGGAGGAAGCUGCCCUGGGGCCGUGUGCACCCCCUUCCUGCUCCGGGGGCCGACAGCCUCAGUACACAAGUGGCAGCAGGCAGCAGGCAGGCAGUGUGGGCCUCUGAGACAGAGGAAAACCCACUACGCCCACUCCAGGGCCACGCGGGUUCCACCCAGACCCUGGGCCCCCGCAGGUGCACACAGCCUCAGACACUCCCCGGCGCCCUCUCCCUCCUCAGCUCUCCUGCUGCCACCGCUGCUCUUCCUCCUCCACCUGCUCCUCUCCUCUCUCUCUCUCUCUCUCUCUCUCUCUCUCUCUCUCUCACACACACACACACACACACACGUGCCACCUGCAGCCCACGGCACAGAAAGCUCUGUCCUCUUUCAAUCCCCUCACCCCAACCCCUCCAACCAAGCCCUCUCCACAAAGGCACAUCUGCGUCGACCCACUCAUGUCCACACUCACGUCACACGUGCACACACAUGCACAUGUGUGUACACACAUGCACACGCGUGCACACACGCCCCGGCCACCCCGGCCCUCAACCUUCUCCAAGAGUUCUGGCACCGCGGGGCUGACCCCUCACGCCCGGCAGCCCAGGUGCCCUCCCUCCUCCACGCCUUGUGAGGAGCCUGGCUCAUCCUGGAAGUGAAUGUGGCACUCCC